CAGGGUUCUGGGCUGUGGUAAAAAUUACGAUUUUCCACAAGACUAUUCUGACACUACACAAGCAAGGAGGGGAUCCUCAUUUCUUCUGAGGUAGAGAGACUGAGACUAGGGGAUAUUGAAUCAUUUACCCGAGGACACACUAUUAGGAAGUGUCAGGGUUAGGAUUCUAUAUCCAGUCCUGUCUCGUAUUCCUCUCUUACAUAGACUCUGUGCUUCAGCCAAUCUGCUUAACCGAAGAUGAAAUUAAAAGAUAAAAUGGAUGCAAAAUACUUAUUUAGUAAGAAAGCAGUGAAUGGAGGAUAUAUGUGGUUCGUAGGGUAACUCAGCUCCACAGUACAUUGGGGACCCAGACCUUUGCAUCCUAUUGGAGGAUUCUGAAGAGUAGGAAUGAAGCUGAAGAGUAGAAGUAGAAUCUGAAAAAGUAGGACAACUGGCUUCGGAUAUAGAAGCAUUAUCUGAGCUCAGUAAUUUUUUUUCAAAGAAAAAAGCAUGAAUAAAUACAUGUGUGAAACCU
ensembl:lncRNA AGBL4-IT1 AGBL4 intronic transcript 1